GACGAACGCUGGCGGCGUGCUUAACACAUGCAAGUCGAACGGUGAACCCGGAGCUUGCUCCGGUGGAUUAGUGGCGAACGGGUGAGUAACACGUGAGUAACCUGCCCUUGACUCUGGGAUAACUGCGGGAAACUGUAGCUAAUACCGGAUACGACCCUCGGCGGCAUCGCCAGGGGGUGGAGAGACUUUCGGUCAAGGAUGGACUCGCGGCCUAUCAGCUAGUUGGUGAGGUAACGGCUCACCAAGGCGACGACGGGUAGCCGGCCUGAGAGGGUGACCGGCCACACUGGGACUGAGACACGGCCCAGACUCCUACGGGAGGCAGCAGUGGGGAAUAUUGCACAAUGGGCGCAAGCCUGAUGCAGCAACGCCGCGUGAGGGAUGACGGCCUUCGGGUUGUAAACCUCUUUUAGUAGGGAAGAAGCGAAAGUGACGGUACCUGCAGAAAAAGCACCGGCUAACUACGUGCCAGCCGCCGCAGUAA
rnacentral:rRNA from 1 species